rnacentral:rRNA from 1 species
UCGGAGAGUUUGAUCCUGGCUCAGGACGAACGCUGGCGGCGUGCCUAAUACAUGCAAGUCGAGCGGACAGAAGGGAGCUUGCUCCCGGAUGUUAGCGGC